GGGUGCGAUAAUGCCAGCACUAAAUCACCGGAUCCCAUCCGAACUCCGAAGUUAAGCGUGAUUGGGCAAGAGUAGUAUUAGGAUGGGUCACCCCCUGGGAAGUCCUCGUGUUGCACUCC
rnacentral:rRNA from 15 species